GGCGCAGGCGGGAAGACAAGUUGGAAGUGAAAUCUAUGGGCUCAACCCAUAAACUGCUUUCAAAACUGUUUUUCUUGAGUAGUGCAGAGGUAGGCGGAAUUCCCGGUGUAGCGGUGGAAUGCGUAGAUAUCGGGAGGAACACCAGUGGCGAAGGCGGCCUACUGGGCACCAACUGACGCUGAGGCUCGAAAGUGUGGGUAGCAAACA
rnacentral:rRNA from 1 species